GUUUAACCGCGUUAGGGAUUGUAGUGAAAAGCCCACAGCGUAGCGAGGACUUGUAACGGAAAGCCCGACCCAAA
rnacentral:sRNA from 1 species